rnacentral:rRNA from 1 species
CCUACGGGAGGCAGCAGUCGAGAAUCAUUCACAAUGGGGGAAACCCUGAUGGUGCGACGCCGCGUGGGGGAAUGAAGGUCUUCGGAUUGUAAACCCCUGUCAUGUGGGAGCAAAUUAAAAAGAUAGUACCACAAGAGGAAGAGACGGCUAACACUGUGCCAGCAGCCGCGGUAAUACAGAGGUCUCAAGCGUUGUUCGGAAUCACUGGGCGGAAAGCGUGCGUAGGCUGUUUCGUAAGUCGUGUGUGAAAGGCGCGGGCUCAAGCCGCGGACGGCACAUGAUACUGGGAGACUAGAGUAAUGGAGGGGGAACCGGAAUGCUCGGUGUAGCAGUGAAAUGCGUAGAUAUCGAGAGGAACACUCGUGGCGAAGGCGGGUUCCUGGACAUUAACUGACGCUGAGGCACGAAGGCCAGGGGAGCGAAAGGGAUUAGAUACCCGGGUAGUC